rnacentral:lncRNA from 1 species
GUUCAUUCACCAAUACUGAUGGAUCAGCUAAGGAUUUUGUUUUUAUUUGUCAAUGUCCAAGUCCAGAAUAUUACUGUGAUAAUCAUUGUUGUUGGUAUUAAAUUUAAAUUGUGUUAAACCAAAAUCAUACCAUGUAAAACAAAAAUUCAGUAUCAAUUUUUCAGUUGUGUUAAACUAAAAUCAUGCACUUUCAUACCAUAUAAAUUGAGGGUUGGGUGUACUUAUAAAAUAAACUCAUAAACUAUACCUAUCCAAUGACUAGAGGUCAUGAGUGCCUAAUCAAAGUAAACCAGCAUAAUUUUAUUUUGAUAGUUUUCUCUGUCAGUCUGAUGCAAGUAUCUUCCUUAUCAAAUGAAGAGUUCUAGUUUCAAUUUGAACCUUCUCCUUUACUUUGGCAUGAUUGCAGAAUUUAAAGAAAAUAAGAGGAAAAAUAAAGGAAGAAGAAAUUUUUAACAGUUUGCAGAGAGCUCUUUCUUAGCUCUCUUUCAGCUCUCUUCCUAUUCUGCUUAUGUCCUUGGUUUCCAAAUUUCUCACUUCAUUUCUGGACCCCUGAUGUGUUGCUUACUUAUGUUUGCUUAUAGUUUUUCAACCAAAAUCCUGGUGUGCAUUCAUUUAAAUAUUUUUCAUCAUGUUGGAGCAACACAGUCUACACUGCUCCUGGUGUCAGAACCUAACAUUAAAAUUUUAGACGAGUGCACUUACAAUUUUUUGUCUCUCACUGACUUCACAAUUGGUGUUAGAAAUGAAAUGUCAAAAGAACAAAAAUUUCAUCAUUAAAACCUCCUAUGGACCCCACACUUUUAUCUAAAAAGCUGUAAAUAGAUACUUGGCUUUUGUUAUUUUUAAAAAAAUAUUUGAUACUUUUAAUUAGAUAUUCAUUUUAUUUAUAC